UUAAAAAGACUUAUUUAGGUGGUGCAAUGGCCAAAACAGGUUUCUUUCCGGAAGGGAAACUUUAGGUUUUUUAACUCUGAUAUUGUUCGUCAAUCUUACAUCGCGCUGAUUAGACUAUUUAAAAAAACAAGUAUUAUCUUAAACUAAUUUUGAAUAAGAAAGUUGGGUUUGAAAUCUCAUCCUGUUUGGUACGCAUUGGUUCGCUACACCAGUAUCCCCAUAUUUGUAUAUUUGCAGGGGAUUUUACUGAGCAUAUUCAGCCUCAUCUUUCAAAAAGGGUACAUCCACGGUUACUUGUUCCAAUAGAGAUUUAGUGUUCCAAUUGACUUGUAGAGUACUAGAAGUAUCUCGCCAUGAAGCUUUUAACGAUUCCUAAUAUGAUUUCAACAAUAACUGUUUCAUUCGUUUUCAUUUUUUCCGAAGUAUUUUGCGUGCCUUAUUACUACGACCACUACAACUACUACGACUCCUACGAAAGAUUUUUAUAUAGGUCUAGUUAUCAGCAUUGUUGGUCACCGGAAGAAACAUUUUUCAAUGGGCAAUGUGUUUGUAUUGAUUGUACCAAACAUUGUCCAAAUAACAUGCAACUGUUUGACGGACCAUACAAAAAAGGGGGUCCAGUAGGUGUUUUUUAGUUCCGGUAAAAGAACGGAAGGCGUCCACUCUGAUACCUAUCAUUAAGCAUUUUAUUCUACCCGGCACGCUUAUUUUAUCAGAUUGUUGGAUGGCUUACAGCAAGUUGAAUCUAGCGGAAUACGAACGCGAAACUGUAAACCACUCCCGAUUCUACAAAGACCCAGUUACCGGCGUGCACACGAAUACAUUAGAAGGUAUGUGGGCUCACGCUAAACGGGAUUUCAUUAAGGGAGGACGACCAAAACGACACAUGUACGGUUACCUGGCUACUUUUAUGCUGAAACGGAAGCUGGCUGGUUAGCCAGGUAAAACGUUUGUCGAUUUUUAUCAUUAUGGCUCACGACUGUGUCGAUGUUGGAUACCCGCGACCACCACCUCCAUAUUCCAGAGGCCCACUCUGAACUUGAUGAUUCAUCAGGCUUUGAACCAUAUGACGACAUCGAUGACUUCCGGGAGUUGCUGAUGGGGUGGGUAGGUGGAGAAGAAGAUAUCUUCACCUUCCCGGAUACCUUCUCUUUAGCCAAACGCCGCCAGAUCCACUACAUCUGUGAUAAGCUCAAGCUCGUUCACAAGAGCACCGGCAAAGGCGAUUCAAGAAGGCUGGUUGUCACGGAGGUCCCAAUAACUCCCAAUGGAGUCAUCUGCGUGAUUUCCUCCGUGACUCCAACAUGACAUUCCCGACAGAUCGGUCAACACUUCUCCAACAGUUCCUGUUUUAGCCAUUGAAUAUCCUCAAUCAGAUGUUCGACGUGUCACCAACUAAUAUAGAGCCCAGAGCAAGCAAACGCCAAAAGAAAUUACCACCUCAUUUAGCGAUUUAUCAGUUAUGACCAAUUCAUUUUUUACUUUA